rnacentral:rRNA from 1 species
UGCCUUAGGCAUGCAAGUCGAACGGUUUCCGCAAGGAAGCAGUGGCAGACGGGUGAGGAACGCGUAGGAAUCUACCCCUGGGUGGAGCAUAGCCGGCCGAAAGGUCGGGUAAUUCUCCAUAGUUCUCGUAAGAGUAAAGGACUUAACGGUCCGCCGAGGGAGGAGCCUGCGUCCUAUCAGCUUGUUGGUGAGGUAAUGGCUUACCAAGGCGAUGACGGGUAGCUGGACUGAGAGGUCGAUCAGCCACAACUGCACUGAGACACGGGCAGUACACCUACGGGUGGCAGCAACCAGGAAUAUUGGACAAUGGGGGAAACCCUGAUCCAGCGAUGCCGCGUGAGUGUGAAGGCCUUCGGGUUGUAAAACUC